ensembl:lncRNA
CCUGUCUCCACCCCUCCCUAACCUCAUUUAAGGGUUGGCAGCCUCCAAGGCGUUAUUUUUAUCUGGUGGCUGCUUCUAUUGGAUUGUUGGGUGAGCCUUGCUCCUUGAGAAAAGUUUUGAGUUGUGCUCUGGAACAGGAUGUACAGCUGGAUCUAGAACAGUUGCCAAAGAGGUGUCCAUGGGCAAACGGUGCUGGAUUUCCCAGGUAAUGGUGAUGCUGAGAAGCAUGCCUCAUGAUGACUUACACAUCCCUCAUGCUUCAUAUUAAUUCUUCCUUUGGGUCAAAAGUAGACUGAAAUUCUUGAAACCUUGCCUGGGAAUCCUGCUGUUGCUAAAAUGGUUCAGCCGUGGUGCCUGUGGUCAGAAUACCUUGUGGCAGACCCUGGCACUGGCUGUGAAUGAAAGAACUGACGACAAAUUGCUCAAUAUCGAAAGCGAGCCAGUACAUACUUACAAGCCUUGGGUGAGCCAGAUGGAAUCUAAGAGGGGGAGGCCGGGUAGGAAAGCUGUUACUAUGAUGUUUCUUAGAAGACUUGCACGGCUGUUUUGCAUUGCUCUGUUAAUUGUUCCAAGGCACCCUUGGCUUCACUGUGUGCAAUUCAUACCAUGUUUUUUCAUCACCUCAGAUGCUGGCUGAAACAUGUAUAUACAUGUGUAUAUAUAAAUG